UCGGUUUUGCCUGUGGUACCUUAUGUUUUACGUGUCCUGGUUUAGACGAAGCUGAAUCUGAACUUUAACGUGUUACUCCACAGCACAAUCCGCCUACAAAGACAAAACCGGUACGUGACACAGAUAGUACAGACACCUCAUACAGGGGUGUAUCUGGGAGAAGGGCCGGGGUCCAGACCACCGUGGUCCGGACGUCCUGGUUCUGAUCAACUUAAUUAUCCUCUCAGCAAUACAUCCUGGAUCCGCCCUUGCACCCACGUGACUGUUUCAUACAAGUCAAGGUUAAAGCGAUCACUACCAGCAAAGAGCAGAAAUGUGAACAGGAAGAAGCCGCCGACAUACCUCGUAACGCAGGUUAGGCCGGUUGAAGCUUUGCAAGAACCACCGUGGACGUGGCAUUCCCAACUGAUGCAAAAUGUCCGUACGCACCCUAGGAGUUGCAGUGGCUGUCAGUGCCAUGAGAGGAACUCCCUUAAACUUCUCACGUAGAACACUCAGGCGCUUGUAAUCUGGCCGGAAAUCGUGU